GAUUCAUCGUCAGCGUUACUGGUACGUGUGCGGUUCGCGAUGCCUGGGACUUCGGUUCCGGGGCACGCGUCCGCAUGUUUUUAUUGCCUGGUAUCGUCGGCGUGCACUUCUCCCCUAGUAGGACGUCGCGACCCGUUGGGUGUCGGUCUACGGCCCGGGUGGGCGCCUGUCUCGUGUGCGCUUCACGGCGUUUCAGCGAGGCAGACCCCCGGUUGUCCGACCGGCUGCCCGGCGGUACUCGCAAGGUAUCCAGCCGCAAACAUUUGAACUGCGUCCGGCCCGUCGCAAGCGAGGCAAGUGUUUCCCGAAUGUACGGAUCUAAUGCCGUCAUCGGGCCUUGCCAGCUGUUGGUUGACGGUGUCCUAGGACCGGCUGUAACUCAAUUAUGAUACCGGUCAGCGACGCUACUGCUUUGGGUACUUUCAGGACCCGUCUUGAAACACGGACCAAGGAGUCUAACAUGUGCGCGAGUCAUUGGGAGCUAUUAAGCCUAAAGGCGCAAUGAAAGUAAAGAUCGGCCUUGCGCCGACCGAGGGAGGAUGGGCCGCUCUACGAGUCGGUCCCGCACUCCCGGGACGUCUCGUUCUCAUUACGAGAAGAGGCGUACCCAGAGCGUACACGU
rnacentral:rRNA from 1 species